AAUGAAGGAGAGAUGUAUUAAGGUAGCAUGUGCAUCUGGGAUGUAGAGAUAGCAGCAAUGUGGUCCUGAGGUAAACGUGUGGUAACAACUGUAAAAAUGCAAGCAAAAUGGCAAGUCUUAAUGAGCAAAGAGGCAAAUUGAAUGUACAAGGUGAACGUGCAACUGAAAUGCAGGCAUAGCAGCGGUGAGGUACCUGAGAAUUCACCAACAGAGUCGGAGAACGGAGGGACCUGCACCCGCUGGACCAGAACCUGCCCCAGGCGGAGUGGGUGUUGCUGAAGGUCAUCAAGCGAAAGUGGUCGGAGCCAAGGUGGACGGGUCCUCAUCAGGUGGUGGAGAGAACGAGUCAUGCGGUCCGCCUGAGGGACAAAGGAGAGACGUGGUACCAUUGGAGCCAGUGUACACCAGCGCAGGAGCCAGGGAGGUCGCUGACGGACCUCAUCCAAACCGGAAAGGAGGAGCUUUCCCCAGCGUGGACGGAAGGAGGACCAACACCAGCCGGACCGGUGCCAGGAGCGGACCACAGGACACAGCAGGACCACGAGCGAGUGAAGGAGACAGAGGACGGCGCCAGGGGAAUAGACUCUUAGGGGAAAGAACUGAAAAAUACUGUAACUAAAGGGGGUAUAGGACACCGAGUGGCUCAUACCACUCGUACCAAGAUGACAGGGUUACAGAGAAAGGUCUGGGGAGAUGAUAGUAGAAUGAAGUAGUAUAUGGGAAUUGGUAGAAUAAUGAUAUGUGUGUUGUGUGUUGAUACAAGUUUCCCAGGUUGGCAUCGGGUCUUCAUUCCCCCAGCGAAGAGGUCAGCGACCCCACCUGAGGACACCUGCUUGAGGAAAUUUGGGGGAUUGAAUUGGACUAUGUCAAGGGGUCGCAUACGAGCAUUCUGGGAUAGAUAAUCCGCUGGAGGAAUGGCUGACCUCGAUGUUCGGCCAGUGGAAAGGUUUGAUAAUGUCUGUUCUUUUAUCGCUUUCUACAUUUGGUGCUAUGAUGGUUACUUGUGGGUGUUGUUGUAUCCCAUGCAUAAGAGGGCUUGCCAUGAGAGUGAUUUCUACAGCCAUUGAGAAGGCUCCAGGAUCGACACCAGGGAUGCUGAUGCCUCUACUGGAGCAGCAUGACCCGGGAGAACUGGAGCUUGGCGAAUAGGGGUGAUCUCUCUGGGGAGAGAUCAAAAGGGGGAAUUGUAGAUGUAGUGAUUGUAUAAGUUAGUGAACUGUUAUAAGCUGUUGUAACCAAUGUAGAUGUAUUGAUUAUAUAAGUUAGUGAACUGUUAUAAGCUGUUGUAACCAAUGAAACAAAAUAUUAAAUGUCUGUAAUAUGAACCGAAACUGAAGGAGCAAGUAGGAGAAUAGGAAACCCUGUUUAAGCAGUUGCCGGGG
ensembl:lncRNA